CAAGGGGAGUGGCAGACGGGUGAGUAACACGUGGGGAUCUGCCCAAUGGUACGGAAUAAUUCCGGGAAACUGGGACUAAUACCGUAUGUGCCCGCAAGGGGAAAGAUUUAUCGCCAUUGGAUGAACCCGCGUCGGAUUAGCUAGUUGGUGAGGUAAAGGCUCACCAAGGCGACGAUCCGUAGCUGGUCUGAGAGGAUGAUCAGCCACACUGGGACUGAGACACGGCCCAGACUCCUACGGGAGGCAGCAGUGGGGAAUAUUGGACAAUGGGCGCAAGCCUGAUCCAGCCAUGCCGCGUGAGUGAUGAAGGCCUUAGGGUUGUAAAGCUCUUUCGCCGACGAAGAUAAUGACGGUAGUCGGAGAAGAAGCCCCGGCUAACUUCGUGCCAGCAGCCGCGGUAAUACGAAGGGGGCUAGCGUUGUUCGGAAUCACUGGGCGUAAAGCGCACGUAGGCGGACAUUUAAGUCAGGGGUGAAAGCCUGGAGCUCAACUCCAGAACUGCCCUUGAUACUGGGUGUCUCGAGUCCGGAAGAGGUAAGUGGAACUGCGAGUGUAGAGGUGAAAUUCGU
rnacentral:rRNA from 1 species